GUCUGGAUGGCUCAGUUUAUUAGAGCAUGGGGCUGAUAACGCCAAGGUUGUAGGUUCGAACCCUGUAUGGGACA